GGGGGUGGCAGCUGUUCAUCCUGCUAUUUAAUAGAGGAAAACAUGCAAAUAGUGCCCCUCCCUCCAGGUAUGAAAACCAGCACAAAACCUAUGCAUGCAGUAUUAGGAGAGGAGCUUCAGUCUGGUGUGGCUUCCUUCUUCCAUUUCCUUCCUCAGGACUAACUUUGUUGAGGCUCCACAAUGAGAUGUGGACUGAGUUGGAUUUUUAUUUUGUCCAUUUUUCAAGGUGUCCAUUGUGAUAUUCAGCUGGUGGAGUCUGGGGGAGAUGUGAGACAGCCUGGAGGAUCCUUGAAACUCUCCUGCAAAGCUUCUGGAUUCACCUUCAGCAACUAUUGGAUGAGCUGGGUCCGCCAGGCUCCAGGAAAGGGGCUGGAGUGGGUCUCAGAAAUUAAGUAUGAUGGAAGUAGCACAUACUAUGCAGACUCUGUGAAAGGCCGAUUCACCAUCUCCAGGGACAAUGGCAACAGCCUGCUGCACCUGCAGAUGAAUUCCCUGAAAGCUGAGGACACAGCCACAUAUUACUGUGCAAGACACACAGUGAGGUAGAGCAGUGAGAGAGCAGACAUAAACUCCUCCUACCUGGAAGCCUUGAGAAUACUGACAGAGAGGGAGCCUAACAACAAAUGAUGCUGAAGAGUUUACUUUCAGGGUCUGUGGUUUCUUCUCUCCCAGACAAAAACUGUCCCAGGGAUUCUCCUUUGAGAUUCUUCUUUCUAUGGAUUCCUAGGCACAGAAAGGACAAAUGUUCUUACAAUGCUUUACAUAUUGUAUAUGACUGAUUUCUGUAAACUUUUAAAAUAUGAGGUAGAAAAGUAGUUAUUUGAGAGAAUAGAAAUGAUUGAACAGCUGCUAUGUACAUAACAUUUUCACAUGGAUUAUAUAUACAAAUGUAUUGAAAUUUAUAAAUACUUGGCAGUAAUGAAACUGUUUUUGGAGAAAAAAUGAAACUCUCUCUACCUGGAUCACUUAUUUCCAGCCUCCCCUCCCCACUACAUGAUAUAUCCCUUUAGUCCCCUUCAAAGGAGGGUCACAAAUGAGCCCUCCUAAUACCCGGCUACAACUCUACACUGGUUACUUGUGAACUAUUAUAAAAACUGUCUGAAUUCUUUCCUCAAUGGUUGCCACAGUCCUAUUCUGUAAUUCUUAUAAUUCUUUCCUGAUGCCAGUGAUCCUGAAUCCUGGCUAUGACUAUAUAAAUCUCAUUCCUUGCCCCACAUAACUCAGACCUUGUCUCUAUUCCAUUUACACCAUUCAAGACUUAUCCCUUCCACUAUGCUUUCUGGACUGCCUGUUCCAUAGUUAACAAUUCUACUUUUCCCUUAAACAUUUCUUUUCUUCUUUCAAACUUUUUCACUCUCUGAGACCUGGCUUACUCCUGA